GCCGGUAUCGACGGCGGAUCGAAUCCUGGGGGCGCUCCUCGCCGGUAGCGGCUUGCGAAAUCAGCGGCCAGCGACGGCUUCAUCCUUCUUGGUUCUUUUCGGGGCUUCUCCCCCUAUUGGUCUAGUUUUCUUGGUUCUUUUUCAAGUCACGGCAAGCAGCGAGGGCUCCGUUCUUUCCUCUCCCCUAAUCAAUCAAGGGAAGAGCAAGCAUCAUCUGUACGAGGCUGGUUUUCGCCGGCGACCUCACAUAGGCAGCGGGCGGCGGCCACACCUGGGCAGCGCGAGGUCGAUUUGUGGUGUGCGGCGGCCACACUACUUCCCUAAUGGUAGAGCAAGAGAUUGAAACACACAAGAUGAAUUCAGCGAGCGAGAGAGGAUUUUUCAGUUUGGUGGACGAGCCUAUGGUGACAGGAUCGAUCGACUCCGUGCUCGCCAAGCUCAACUCCACCAGACUGAAGAAGAAUCAUCCCAAGAUGAUGGAAGUGUUAUGUCAAGGCGUGGUGAACCUAAAGAAGGGUUUCGACAAGCUCGGCGGGGGGCGGGUGAUGGAUCGGCAUGCCCUAUUGUGGACGAAGUUUGCCACGGACCUGGUCUUUGACAUCGAAGAGUGGAUCGACGAGCCAAAGGCCACAUAUUUCUCGGAGAGAGAGAUGACUGCUUUGUUCAAGUCCCGGAUCCGCAAUGUGCUUGAGCAGUUCACGUGGUGCGACCUUCUCAGUCCAACUGAAGAUCGCUUCAAGAUCAUCGAUGAUUUACAUAAAGAUCUGGAGAGCCUUAAAAAGGAACUCCCCUAUAAGUUUGGGCCACCGGUGAGUCUUGAGCAGUCAGUUUGGAUGGAUCAAACAUGUGAGCUGGUCAGCGAGGUGGAAACUUUGGUCCAUGAUGAGAAGCCCGGAAAGGACAUGGAUGAAUUGCAGGAGAAACUAAUCCAGGACUACAAAGCCAAGAUACGGGAAACACGUGAGGUCUUGAAACAUUCUAGUGAUAAGCUCAGUACAGCCUCCGUUGAUUGUCCCCUGAUUUAUGAGGAGAAAACUCGUGACCUCAUUGCUCUGAAAGAACCAAGUAGUAAGCUUCUCAUGCAUCUGGCCGCCACACAGGCGAGGCUAAAGUUGGUAUCUAUUGUCGGAAUGGAAGGCAUUGGCAAGACUACUCUUGCAAAGGAGGUAUAUGCAAAGCUUCAAUGCAAGUUCGAGUGCCGAGCUUUCGUCACUCUUGGCCGAAAACCGUCUCUAGUGGCCACUCGGCUGGAUAUACUUCACCAAGUAAAGCCCCAGGGUACUAUUCCUCUGAAUGGUACAGAAGCUCCUGAAAUGAAUCAAGUCGUAACUGAGCUCAGGGAACACCUCGUCACGAAGAGGUAUUUCAUCUUAAUUGAUGACAUUUGGAGCAUCUCGGCAUGGGAUGUUCUUAAUUCUUUUUUGCCUGAGAAUGAUCUUGGAAGUAGAGUAUUGAUCACAACUUGCAUCAGCGACGUAGCCAAAUGUUGUUCUACACGCCCAAUUGAUUUCAUCCACCAGAUGGAGCCUCUUAGCAAGGAAGAAUCCAAGACUUUAUUUCACGAGGAGGCAAAAAGGCCCGCUGAAAAUGAGUUGUUGAAAAUGUGUGGGGGCAUGCCAUUGGCAAUACUUAUUGCAGCCGGCAGGAAAUCUGCAGGACUAGCUGAGCCAGAGAUUCGUGAGAGACGUAUCCUUUCAACAUCAGACCAAUGUUCCGCAUCAGAUGGGAUGAGAAUGUUAUUGCGCAUGAGUUAUGAUGAGCUACCUGCCCCUUUGAAGUCUUGUCUUGUAUACCUCAGUGUUUUUCCAGAAUAUUAUACCAUCAAGAAAGACCGUUUGAUACGGCUAUGGAUUGCUGAGAGAUUUUUCUUAGGAAGGCGUGAAGAAAACUUGUGGAGAACAGGAGAAAGCUAUUUCAAUGAGCUCAUCUGUAGGCGGCUGAUUCAGCCAGUGUUUGGCUACGAAGAUGGCCAGGCUGUAGGAUGUGUGGUACAUGGUGUGAUCCUUGACUUCAUCAAAACUUUGUCUAGGGAAGACAACUUUGCGACAACGAGUGCAGAUAUGAGGUCCGGACUAACUCCAUGCUAUCCGAUUCGACGGUUCUCAUUCGGUUGCUGCAUCAAGGAAGAUGAAGCCGGCAAGCUGCUCCCAGGAACCCUGCACCUAUCUAGCAUGCGAACCCUCCAAGUUUGCGGGCGUGUUGGAUGGACAACCCUCCUCACAUAUCCUAAGGUUAGAAAAGGGAAGCCUGCUCUUCGAACCUUCAAAUUUCUACGAGUACUCGAUGUGGAAGAUAAUGGUAUUUUGAGAAGCCACCAUCUGAAAGGCAUUGGAGGGCUGAUUCUGCUAAGGUACUUGGGACUUAGAGGGGCUGCUAUCCAUGAAUUACCAGGCGAAAUUGGAAAGCUGGAGCACCUGGAGACGCUGGAUGUCAGGCGCACUAACCUGAGAAAUCUGCCUGCAUCUAUAGCUGGAUUGGAAAGGAUGGUAUGCCUACUGAUUGAAGAUACCGUGAAGAUGCUGGGCGAUAUCCUUAUGAUGCAAGGACUACAAGAAGUAUCAACGAUCCGUGUCGACAACGUCAAGUCACUCCAUAAGGUCGUAGAGCUGCUGGUUCGGUCGGGGAGGCUGAGUGUCCUUGGCUUGAGCUUUGAUGGAUUAGACCCAUCUGUGCACAGUGCACGUGCCAUAGUUGAUUUCCUCAAGGUGGUUGGACACUCUAACCUUCGGUCCCUAUCUCUGCAUUGUCUUGGUGGUGACUUGGUUGGCCAACUGAACUUGUGUCCCCCGUACCAGUUGCAAAGAUUUGAACUGACUAUAUCUGGUGCAAUCCUGGGAAGUACUGCAUUUUGUAUGGCCACCUGUGUCACCCACUUGAAUAUUGAAAUUAGUCAAUUGGGAGAGCAAGGUCUGAGUAUCAUCGCGUCCGCGCCCCAUCUUAUCCUUCUCAAGUUAGUAUCUUCAGGACCUGCUGCUGCCAUGACGGACACGCACUCAUCUUCCAGAAGACAAAGAAGAAGGGUGAUAAUUUGCAGUGGCGCCUUUCCGUGUCUUAAGGUGUUCUGGUUCACAUGCAAGGCUGGUGGGAAUGAGCUGCAGUUUGAUCGAGGAGCCAUGCCACGGCUGCGGGGUCUUAGGCUCCACUUCAACGCUCUAGAGACGCUGUCUCUUUAUGGAGAUUUUGAAUUUGGCAUUGAGCAUCUCUCUAGCCUCACCAGAAUCCAUGCCGCUAUUGGAUGUGAAGAUGCUACGGCUCCGGAGGUGGAGCUUGCAGAGACUGCCAUCACAGAGCAAGUCUGUCGGAUCUCCUCCGCCAACACACCAACAAUAGAGUUCAGCAGAGAGAAGCCCGGGAUGUUUGAGGGGGAAAAGAAGAGUGUAGGUCCCCUUACAGAGACGGUGACAACGAUCACCAAGAAAAGGAGGUUGAGCAGAUGGUUGAUUACCCAGUACGAAAUGAUGCAGCGCGCCUUGUGCUCUUGCAGUUGCGCGGGUAGACGCAGUGUGAAAUGAUGCAGCGCGCGUUGUGGGCCUGGUCGUGCAGGCCACGGAACAGAACACAUCCGUGGCAAGCUUGAAGAGCACGCACGUAUAGAAAUCCAACGUGAAAUUAAACUAGCAUAUGCAGCGGGAGUAAGGGAGGGACAGGAUCACAGGAGCAACGUAGUGCACGAGGGAGGCUCCCUAUCGAGAAAUAUAUCUCCACAAGCUGCAUCUCGAUGGGUGAUAUCAGCAUGAACAUCCUCGCCUGAAUCUUUUCAGUCUUUUGUUCUUUUGAUAACUUGAAAUGAGUUGUUAUUAGCUGCAUGGUUAAUCGUGGUAAUUUUGGUCCAAGUAUUUUAAGUUCAGGAUGGAAUGUUUUGUUUGUUUGCACUAUGUAGCUGGUAAUGCCAGCAGCAUGUUGACGACAGUUGUCCUUCUAUAUAAAGUGGGG